UAACGUUAUGCGGAUAAACUAUACAACACGCUUUACUUCGAAAAGUCGCUUUAAGUAGAAAAUUUGGAAUACACAUACGGAAACUAGAAUAACGGUUUGAAGAAUACUCCACCACUUGACGCGGUCAUUUGUGCUUUCAGCAGUAUUGCGAUGUAUUCUUUCACGAGCCACAAAAUACUCCUGCUCAUGUUUUACCUUGGAGAUGGUAU